rnacentral:rRNA from 1 species
UACGAAGGGGGCUAGCGUUGUUCGGAAUUACUGGGCGUAAAGGGCGCGUAGGUGGUUCUGUAUGUCUAUCGUGAAAGCGUACGGCUCAACCGUAUUUUGUCGGUAGAAACUGCAGGACUUGAGGCUGGGAGGGGCUGGUGGAAUUCCCUGUGUAGCGGUGAAAUGCGUAGAGAUGGGGGAGAACACUCGUGGCGAAGGCGGCCAGCUAGACCAGUUCUGACACUGAGGCGCGACAGCGUGGGGAGCAAACAGG